AAACCAUGACGGGGACAUUGUUUGAGCAUAUUGUUGUAUCUAUCCCAUGCUUCAAAUAAAGUUUCUAAGUAUGACUGUCUGAAGCUUGCAAUUUGAUUUCUCAUAU